rfam:Rhizobium sp. Root483D2 contig_16, whole genome shotgun sequence.
AGUCAAGAGUCUUUGGCAUCGUUUUGGUGAGCAAAUUUCUUUUGCCUUUUACAAGGUGAAGAAAAUG